GACGAACGCUGGCGGCGUGCUUAACACAUGCAAGUCGAACGGUGAAGCGCCUUCCUUUUUGGUGGGUGUGGAUGAGUGGCGAACGGGUGAGUAACACGUGAGUAACCUGCCCCCUUCUUCUGGAUAACCGCAUGAAAGUGUGGCUAAUACGGGAUAUUCUGGGUCUGUCGCAUGAUGGGUCUGGGAAAGAUAUUGUUUCGGUGGGGGAUGGGCUCGCGGCCUAUCAGCUUGUUGGUGGGGUGAUGGCCUACCAAGGCGGUGACGGGUAGCCGGCCUGAGAGGGUGGACGGUCACACUGGGACUGGGACCCGGCCCAGACUCCUACGGGAGGCAGCAGUGGGGAAUAUUGCACAAUGGGCGCAAGCCUGAUGCAGCGACGCCGCGUGAGGGAUGGAGGCCUUCGGGUUGUGAACCUCUUUCGCCAGUGAAGCAGGCCUGCCUCGUUUGUGGGUGGGUUGACGGUAGCUGGAUAAGAAGCGCCGGCUAACUACGUG
rnacentral:rRNA from 1 species